GCUGGGUGUGGUGGUGCGUGCCUGUAAUCCCAGCUACUUGGGAGGCUGAGGCAGGAGAAUUGCUUGAACCCAGGAGGCGGAGGUUGCAGUGAGCUGAGAUCAUGCCACUGCAGUCCAGCCUGGGUGACAGAGUCAGAUUUUGUUUCAA
rnacentral:SRP_RNA from 1 species